GACUGUGUGUGUGUCUGUCAGUUUACAUAUGUGAAUGUGUGUCUGUUAGUGAAAGGUGAGUUUGUCAGUGUAUGUGUCUAUUAGUGACUGUGUGUCUAUUAAUGUGUGUCUGUCAGUAUAUAUUUGUGAGUAUGUGUCUGUUAGUGAUGGGUGUGCGUCUCUUAGUGAGUGUGUCUGUCUGUCAGUGUAUGUGUUUGUCCAUUAUUUAGUGUUUUUGUCUUAGUUUAUGUCUGUGAGUGUGUCUGCCAGUGUAUUUCUGUGAAUGAGUGUGUGUCUGUUAGUGAGUGUGUGUGUGUCUGUUAGUAUAUGUAUGUGAGUUAGCAUGUGUGUAUUUUAGUGUGUGUCUUUCAGUGAAUGUGUGUGUCUGUCAGUUUGUCUGGUGAGUGAGUGUGUCAAAUCAGUGAGUGUGUGUUUAUGUCAGUGUAUGUAUGCCUGUCACUGAAUGGUGGGGCAAUGUUUGUUUUUUAAAG